UAUAACUAGGGGAGCUUUAACAGGCUGAGAUUGGAAAAAUCCUAAACCCUUAUAACCUGAUUUGGUUAAGACCAACGUAGGGAAGUGCAGAGUUAAU
rnacentral:ncRNA from 1 species